rnacentral:rRNA from 1 species
GACGGGGGGUCCAAGCGUUGUUCGGAAUCAUUGGGCGUAAAGCAUGUGCAGGUGGUCUUGUAAGUUGGAUGUGAAAUCCCCGGGCUUAACUCGGGAAGUGCAUUCAAAACUACAAGACUGAGUAAGGAAGAGGGUCGUGGAAUUCCAAGGUGUAGUGGUGAAAUACGUAGAUAUCUGGAGGAACACCGGUGGCGAAGGCGGCGACCUGGUCCUAUACUGAC